CCUACGGGCGGCAGCAGUGAGGAAUAUUGGUCAAUGGACGGAAGUCUGAACCAGCCAUGCCGCGUGCAGGAAGACGGCUCUAUGAGUUGUAAACUGCUUUUGUACAAGGGGAAACCUGAAUACGUGUAUGCAGCUGAAAGUACUGUACGAAUAAGGAUAGGCUAACUCCGUGCCAGCAGCCGCGGUAAUACGGAGGAUCCAAGCGUUAUCCGGAUUUAUUGGGUUUAAAGGGUGCGUAGGCGGAUUUAUAAGUUAGAGGUGAAAUGUCCGCGCUUAACUCGGGAACUGCCUCUCAUACUGUUGAUCUAGAGCGUAGGUGCGGUAGGCGGAAUGUAUGUUGUAGCGGUGACAUGCUU
rnacentral:rRNA from 1 species